UAGGGAAUAUUAGUAAUGGGCGAAAGCCUGAACUAGCAAUACCGCGUGUGCGAAGAAGGCCUUCGGGUUGUAAAGCACUUUUUGGGAGGACGAGGAAGGACGGUACUCCCAGAAUAAGUCUCGGCUAACUACGUGCCAGCAGCCGCGGUAACACGUAGGAGGCGAACGUUAUCCGGAUUUACUGGGCGUAAAGCGCGUGUAGGUGGUUCGGUAAGUAGGGCGUGAAAGCUCCCGGCUCAACUGGGAGAGGCCGUUCUAAACUGCCGAGCUAGAGGAUGGUAGAGGGAGGUGGAAUUCCGAGUGUAGCGGUGGAAUGCGCAGAUAUUCGGAGGAACACCAGUGGCGAAGGCGGCCUCCUGGACCAUUCCUGACACUCAGACGCGAAAGCUAGGGUAGCAAA
rnacentral:rRNA from 1 species